GUGGUGGUUGUAUGUACGAGGUGAAAUGAUGUAAACACAGGGCGCUGACAUCUUUGUUAAGUUGAACGAAUUGCACGAUUUAUUGAAUAUUAGUAGUGAAUUAGACUUGUAAUUAGCUGGAAAUAGAAGCACAGAAUUAUCGUUUCUGAGGAAACCGUGGAAAGGAAAAGAAAUCCUCGAAGUAGAAAGCUUACUGGUGCAAAGUAUUGUUAGUUGGAAAGGUUUUUGGGCAGAAUUUAAAGAAGGAAACUAAGUUUGUGAGUUACAUAACUGUUUGCUCAAUUUAAACAACUAAAAUAAAUAUAUUUCUAGUUUUGAGUUUGCUGACAACUUACUUCAGAAAGUGUUUUCAAUGAUGUCCCGAAC